ACCGAAUCGUUUCCAGUGUCUAUAAUCUGCGAUAUAUUUCAUCGGCGAAUGUGUGCGUGCGUGUACUAUGGCAGCGGCUUUUUGGCUGCGCUUGGUAUAUGUGCUGUGCUUCCUUGCUGGUGCCCUGUAUUGUGGUGGGACGCCAAUGUCAGUUCGUAAACCGCGGGAAAUGACUACCGAGGAGGUAAGGCUUACGCUUGCGUUUGUCUGUUAUAUCUUGGUGGACGAGUAGUUGUGGUUGGGACUGAGGUGCCUACAACGUGCUUUUGAGUGGGACUGCGUCUCCGUGUGCGCCGUGUGCGGAUAGCUUGCUAUAUGCGUGUGGUUGUGUAUGGAUUGAUGCGGACUUUAACUUGUUGCCGUUCGGGACGUUGGCGAAAUGGAGCGAUUUGACCCGUCUUGAAACACGGACCAAGGAGUCUAACAUGUGUGCAAGUGUUAGUCGAAACCCGGACGCGUAAUUAACGUGAAGGGCAGCGCAAGCUGUCUGAGGUAGGAAACGUUGCGGACUUCGGUCUGCGAUGUGGCACUAUCGACCGAUCAUGAACCUUCGUGGUGAAAGAUUUGAGUUUGAGCACAUAUGUUGGCACCCGAAAGAUGGUGAACUAUGCCUGAGUAGAGUGAAGCCAGGGGGAACUCUGGUGGAAGCUCGUAGCGAUUCUGACGUGCAAAUCGAUCGUUGAACUUGGGUAUAGGGGCGAAAGACUAAUCGAACCAUCUAGUAGCUGGUUCCCUCCGAAAUCUCCCUCAGGAUAGCAACAACUUAUUUACGAUAGUUUUAUGAGGUAAAGCGAAUGAUUAGAGGAUUCGGGGAA
rnacentral:rRNA from 1 species